rnacentral:rRNA from 1 species
CCUACGGGAGGCAGCAGUGAGGAAUAUUGGUCAAUGGUCGGGAGCCUGAACCAGCCAAGCCGCGUGAGGGAUGAAGGUACAGAGUAUCGUAAACCUCUUUUGUCAGGGAACAAAGGCGGGGACGUGUCCCCGGAUGAGUGUACCUGAAGAAAAAGCAUCGGCUAACUCCGUGCCAGCAGUCGCGGUAAUACGGAGGAUGCGAGCGUUAUCCGGAUUUAUUGGGUUUAAAGGGUGCGCAGGCGGUCUGUUAAGUCAGCGGUCAAAGCCCGGGGCUCAACCCCGGCGCGCCGUUGAAACUGGGAGUCUCGAGUUGGAGAGAAGUAUGCGGAAUGCGCGGUGUAGCGGUGAAAUGCAUAGAUAUCGCGCAGAACUCCGAUUGCGAAGGCAGCAUGCCGGCUCCACACUGACGCUGAGGCACGAAAGCGUGGGUAUCGAACAGGAUUAGAUACCCGAGUAGUC